UUGGUCUUGAAAGUGGAUCAUAUCUUUCAUGUUGUGCGACAUGGCUGCAAGGAGUUUGAUGAAGCAAGGGACUGGCUUGCUUUGUGACUGCAAGCGGACGACAGAACUUGUUCCAUUCCCAUUAUAACUAGGUGGUCGAGAGGGUUGAACUUUUAAAGCUUCGCUUUCGUCAAGUUCUGGCAGGAGGGGUUUUUUUACAUUUUUUAAAAAAUUCCUCGCCCGCCUUCUAUUGCGAUUGGAAAAUCUUCUGACUAGUAGAGAUGAGGGUUGGGUACUCGGGUCAACUGCUUAAUUCACGCAUACGCACCCACUAUACGAAUAUCUCCAUCCUUACUUUUUAGCAAUUAUAAAUGAGGUGAAUGAGUAUGAUGUGAUAUUUCACUUAGUCAUUGUUAGGAAUGUAAAAGUAAUUGCUAAUUAGAUAAGAAAUAUGAAAUCUAAACUCCAUUCACAACUCCUCAACCAACCACGUCUAAAAAGGUGGGUAGAUGUGCUCGGUGAUGUCUCGUUAUGUUGAUGGAUGAGUUGAUUUGGAUGAAAAUCCAACACCUAACUAAUAC
rnacentral:lncRNA from 1 species